CAACACUCAAUGAAUUGAGGAAUUAUCCAACCAAUUGAGGAUGAUGCGAGCUCAACUUACAGAAGCACACAAGAGACUGAGUUGCAACUUUGAAGCUCAUAUUUGUUAAAUGUUGUGUUGAUGCUGGUUUAGGUGUUUGAGGUAAUGAAAAAGCAAGAGGAGAUGAGGCUGACAGAAUUGACUACAAAAGGGGCAGAAUUUAAAGCUAUGCAAGCUGAAGCUGAAACCGUAUGAUUGCCAUUUCUCUAUCAAUUUUUUAUUGAAUUCUCUGCAUUUUGGUAAUUCAUAGUGCCUCGUGAGAAAUAAAAUGAAAAGGGAAGUAGCUUGUUCUGCCUUAGUUUCAUGUAAUUGUGAAACUGAUAAGCCAACUCCUUUACAUUGGUUCUAUUGGGUCUAAAUUUAAUCCACGCACCAUACCAGCUUGGGUUACUAAGGGAUAUUCAGAAGAGAGGAGAUUGAUGAAUCAAUCCCAUUUGGCAAUCCUUAAAAGCAUAGACGUUACAAAGAGAGUAGUAGCCAGAAUGGUUGGUUGCACCUCUGUAGUUCACCAAAUUAGGCUUUCCAACAGCUCAAACAUUACCCAAUUGACUAAAAACUGGCUCAGAGGAAACAAACUUAGCUAUCACUCUCAGGAGCUCUAGAGUCCACAAGGCAAAGAUAUUUUUGAUGAGUUAAAAAAAUGGUCUUUUUCAGUUUUUUUGGUUCUUCUCAAUAUAUGGAAAUUUGUUUUUUGAACCACAUGCAAAUUAAGGCUGGUAACCACAGAUGUGAGUAAAAUUAUUUUGAUAUGUAACAAUGAAUUACCUUUUGCCUAAAGGCGGUUCUAAAAAAAAUUAUUAUGUUGGGAUGUUGGAAUAUACUUCAAAGUCAAAGGGAAAUUAGCAUUACUUGAAAAAAAAACUUGUGGUAUGUAUUCUGGAUAGGGAACUUUAUGAUUAUGAUUUCUAAUGAGUUAUUUUUUUCUACUGAAUCAUUUUUCUAUUUUGGAAUGAUUGUUGUAUUCAUAGGUGUAUUAAGUAGGAUACUCUAAAUGACAUAGACAAGUACUUCAAUUAUUUGUCUUUUUUAUUACUUUAG